rnacentral:rRNA from 1 species
GGCAGGCCUAACACAUGCAAGUCGAACGGUAACAGGAAGAAGCUUGCUUCUUUGCUGACGAGUGGCGGACGGGUGAGUAAUGUCUGGGAAACUGCCUGAUGGAGGGGGAUAACUACUGGAAACGGUAGCUAAUACCGCAUAACGUCGCAAGACCAAAGAGGGGGACCUUCGGGCCUCUUGCCAUCGGAUGUGCCCAGAUGGGAUUAGCUUGUUGGUGGGGUAACGGCUCACCAAGGCGACGAUCCCUAGCUGGUCUGAGAGGAUGACCAGCCACACUGGAACUGAGACACGGUCCAGACUCCUACGGGAGGCAGCAGUGGGGAAUAUUGCACAAUGGGCGCAAGCCUGAUGCAGCCAUGCCGCGUGUAUGAAGAAGGCCUUCGGGUUGUAAAGUACUUUCAGCGGGGAGGAAGGGAGUAAAGUUAAUACCUUUGCUCAUUGACGUUACCCGCAGAAGAAGCACCGGCUAACUCCGUGCCAGCAGCCGCGGUAAUACGGAGGGUGCAAGCGUUAAUCGGAAUUACUGGGCGUAAAGCGCACGCAGGCGGUUUGUUAAGUCAGAUGUGAAAUCCCCGGGCUCAACCUGGGAACUGCAUCUGAUACUGGCAAGCUUGAGUCUCGUAGAGGGGGGUAGAAUUCCAGGUGUAGCGGUGAAAUGCGUAGAGAUCUGGAGGAAUACCGGUGGCGAAGGCGGCCCCCUGGACGAAGACUGACGCUCAGGUGCGAAAGCGUGGGGAGCAAACAGGAUUAGAUACCCCUGGUAGUCCACUCCGUAAACGAUGUCGACUUGGAGGUUGUGCCCUUGAGGCGUGGCUUCCGGAGCUAACGCGUUAAGUCGACCGCCUGGGGAGUACGGCCGCAAGGUUAAAACUCAAAUGAAUUGACGGGGGCCCGCACAAGCGGUGGAGCAUGUGGUUUAAUUCGAUGCAACGCGAAGAACCUUACCUGGUCUUGACAUCCACGGAAGUUUUCAGAGAUGAGAAUGUGCCUUCGGGAACCGUGAGACAGGUGCUGCAUGGCUGUCGUCAGCUCGUGUUGUGAAAUGUUGGGUUAAGUCCCGCAACGAGCGCAACCCUUAUCCUUUGUUGCCAGCGGUCCGGCCGGGAACUCAAAGGAGACUGCCAGUGAUAAACUGGAGGAAGGUGGGGAUGACGUCAAGUCAUCAUGGCCCUUACGACCAGGGCUACACACGUGCUACAAUGGCGCAUACAAAGAGAAGCGACCUCGCGAGAGCAAGCGGACCUCAUAAAGUGCGUCGUAGUCCGGAUUGGAGUCUGCAACUCGACUCCAUGAAGUCGGAAUCGCUAGUAAUCGUGGAUCAGAAUGCCACGGUGAAUACGUUCCCGGGCCUUGUACACACCGCCCGUCACACCAUGGGAGUGGGUUGCAAAAGAAGUAGGUAGCUUAACCUUCGGGAGGGCGCUUACCACUUUGUGAUCCAUGACUGGGGUGAAGUCGU